rnacentral:rRNA from 1 species
AACGAACGCUGGCGGCAGGUUUAACACAUGCAAGUCGAGCGCCCCGCAAGGGGAGCGGCAGACGGGUGAGUAACGCGUGGGAACGUACCCUUUGCUACGGAAUAGCUCCGGGAAACUGGAAUUAAUACCGUAUGUGCCCUACGGGGGAAAGAUCUAUAGGCAAAGGAUCGGCCCGCGUUGGGUUAGUUAGUUGGUGGGGUAAUGGCCUACCAAGGCGACGAUGCAUAGCUGGUCCGAGAGGAUGAUCGGGCACAUUGGGGAUGAAACACGGCCCCAACUCCUACGGGAGGCAGCGGUGGGGAAUAUUGGAGAAUGGGCGCAAGCCGGAUCCAGCCAUGCCGCGUGAGUGAUGAAGGCCUUAGGGUUGUAAAGCUCUUUCACCGGAGAAGAUAAUAACGGUAUCCGGAGAAGAAGCCCCGGCUAACUUCGUGCCAGCCGCCGCAGUAAAAC